rnacentral:rRNA from 1 species
UACGUAGGCAGCAAGCGUUGUUCGGAGUUACUGGGCGUAAAGGGUGCGUAGGCGGUUCUGUAAGUAUGGUGUGAAAUCUCCCGGCUUAACUGGGAGGGUGCGCUAUAAACUGCGGGGCUAGAGUGUGGGAGAGGAAAGUGGAAUUCCCAGUGUAGAGGUGAAAUUCGUAGAUAUUGGGAAGAACACCGGUGGCGAAGGCGACCAUCUGGACGACAACUGGACGCUGAGGCGACGAAAGGCGUGGGGAGCAAACAGG